rnacentral:rRNA from 1 species
CGGUAAAACCAGCACCUCAAGUGGUCAGGAUGAUUAUUGGGCCUAAAGCAUCCGUAGCCGGCUUUGUAAGUUUUCGGUUAAAUCCAUGUGCUCAACGCAUGGGCUGCCGAAAAUACUGCAUAGCUAGGGAGUGGAAGAGGUAGACGGUACUCAGUAGGUAGGGGUAAAAUCCUUUGAUCUAUUGAUGACCACCUGUGGCGAAGGCGGUCUACCAGAACACGUUCGACGGUGAGGGAUGAAAGCUGGGGGAGCAAACCGGAUUAGAUACCCGGGUAGUCCCAGCUGUAAACGAUGCAGACUCGAUGAUGCAUUGGCAUAAUAGCCAUUGCAGUGUCGCAGGGAAGCCGUUAAGUCUGCCGCCUGGGAAGUACGUACGCAAGUAUGAAACUUAAAGGAAUUGGCGGGGGAGCACCACAAGGGGUGAAGCCUGCGGUUCAAUUGGAGUCAACGCCAGAAAUCUUACCCGGAGAGACAGCAGAAUGAAGGUCAAGCUGAAGACUUUACCAGACAAGCUGAGAGGUGGUGCAUGGCCGUCGCCAGCUCGUGCCGUGAGAUGUCCUGUUAAGUCAGGUAACGAGCGAGAUCCCUGCCGCUAGUUGCUAUCAUUAUUCUCAGGAAUAGUGGAGCGAAUUAGUGGGACUGCCGUUGUUAAAACGGAGGAAGGAAGGGGCUACGGCAGGUCAGUAUGCCCCGAAACUCUGGGGCCACACGCGGGCUGCAAUGGUAGUGACAAUGAGUUCCAAACUCGAAAGAGAGUGGCAAUCUCUAAACGCUACCACAGUUAUGACUGAGGGCUGUAACUCGCCCUCACGAAUAUGGAAUCCCUAGUAACCGCGUGUCAUUACCGCGCGGUGAAUACGUCCCUGCUCC